rnacentral:lncRNA from 1 species
CAGUUUAGUGAUGGUGGUGGUAGUAGUAGUAAUGAUGAUGGUAGUGAUAGCAGUUUAGUGAUGUGGUGGUAGUAGUAGAAUUGAUGAUGGAAGUGAUAGCAGUUUAGUGAUGGUGGUAGAAGUAGUAAUGAUGAUGCUAGAUAUAGCAGUUUAGUGAUGAUGGUGGUGGUGGUGGUAGUAGUAGUAAUGAUGUUGGUUUUCACAGCAGUUUAGUGAUGGUGGUAGUAGUAGUAAUGAUGACGGUAGUGAUAGCAGUUUAGUGAGGGUGGUGGUAGUAGUAUUAGUAAUGAUGAUCGUAGUGAUAGCAGUUUAGUGAUGGUGGUGGUGGUAGUAGUAGUAAUGAUGAUGGUAUUGAUAGCAGUUCAGUGAUGGUAGUAGUAGUAGUAAUGAUGAUGGUAGUGAUAGCAGUUUAGUUAUGGUGGUGGUAGUAGUAUUAGUAAUGAUGAUGGUAGUGAUAGCAGUUUAGUGAUGGUGGUGGUAGUAGUAGUAGUAAUGAUGAUGGUAGUGAUAGCAGUUUAGUGAUGGUAAUGGUGGAAAUAGUAGUAAUGAUGAUGGUAGUGAUAGCAGUUUACUGAUGGUGGUGGUGGUAGUAGUAGUAGUAAUGGCUAUGGUAGUGAUAGCAGUUUAGUGAUGGUGGUAGUAGUCGUAGAAUGUUGAUGGUAGUGAUAGCAGUUUAGUGAUGGUGGUGGUAGUAGCAGUAAUGAUGAUGGUAGUGAUAGCAGUUUAGUGAUGUGGUGGUAGUAGUAGAAUUGAUGAUGGUAGUGAUAGCAGUUUAGUGAAUGUGAUGGUGGAAGAAAUAUUAAUGAUGAUGGUAGUGAUAGCAGUUUAGUGAUGGUGGUGGUAGUAGUAGUGAUGUUGGUAUUCAUAGCAGUUUAGUGAUGGUGGUAGUAGUAGUAAUGAUGAUAGUAGUGAUAGCAGUUUAGUGAUGGUGUUGGUAGUUGUAGUAAUGAUGAUGGAAGUAAUAGCAGUUUAGUGAUGUGGUGGUGGUAGUAUAAUAAUGAUGAUGGUAGUGAUAGCAGUUUAGUGAUGGUGGUGGUAGUAGUAAUGAUGUUGGUAUUCACAGCAGUUUAGUGAUGGUGGUAGUAGUAGUAAUGAUGAUGGUAGU